AGCCCUUGACAUGUCCGGUAUGGGUGGGGGAGACCUCAUUCUUCAGUUCGGCUGGACCGGUGACAGGUGCUGCAUGGCUGUCGUCAGCUCGUGUCGUGAGAUGUUGGGUUAAGUCCCGCAACGAGCGCAACCCUCGCCCUUAGUUGCCAUCAUUAAGUUGGGCACUCUAAGGGGACUGCCGGUGAUAAGCCGCGAGGAAGGUGGGGAUGACGUUCGUCUGAC
rnacentral:misc_RNA from 1 species